rnacentral:rRNA from 1 species
UAUCCUGACCGUGUAAAGGUAGCAUAAUCACUUGUUCCUUAAUUAGGGACUUGUAUGAAUGGCUGAACGAGGGUUCAACUGUCUCUUAUUUUAAUCAGUGAAAUUGACCUUCCAGUGAAGAGGCUGGAAUAACUUAAUUAGACGAGAAGACCCUAUGGAGCUUAAAUUUAUAAACUUAUUACAAACUUAAAUUCCUUAUGGGACAAAAACAAAAUUAUUAGCUUAAAGUUUUGGUUGGGGUGACCUCGGAGAAUAGAAAAUCCUCCGAAAGAUUUAUAAAUUAGACCAACAAGUCAAAGUAAACCUAUUCCUAAUUGACCCAAAAUAAUUUGAUCAACGGACCAAGUUACCCUAGGGAUAACAGCGCCAACCUAUUUAAGAGUUCAUAUCGACAAUAGGGUUUACGACUCUGAUGUUGGAUCAGCAGAUCCCAAUGGUGCAGAAGAUCUUAAUGGUUCGUUUG